GGUCCCGUAGCUCAGUUGGAUAGAGCGGCGGACUUCUAAUCCGCAGGUCGUGGGUUCGAACCCUACCGGGAUCACCA
rnacentral:tRNA from 1 species